rnacentral:rRNA from 1 species
AUUGAACGCUGGCGGAAUGCUUUACACAUGCAAGUCGAACGGCAGCACGGACUUCGGUCUGGUGGCGAGUGGCGAACGGGUGAGUAAUGUAUCGGAACGUGCCCAGUCGUGGGGGAUAACGUAGCGAAAGUUACGCUAAUACCGCAUACGAUCUACGGAUGAAAGCGGGGGACCGUAAGGCCUCGCGCGAUUGGAGCGGCCGAUGUCAGAUUAGGUAGUUGGUGAGGUAAAGGCUCACCAAGCCGACGAUCUGUAGCUGGUCUGAGAGGACGACCAGCCACACUGGGACUGAGACACGGCCCAGACUCCUACGGGAGGCAGCAGUGGGGAAUUUUGGACAAUGGGCGCAAGCCUGAUCCAGCCAUUCCGCGUGCAGGGCGAAGGCCUUCGGGUUGUAAACUGCUUUUGUACAGAACGAAAAGGUUUCUACUAAUACUAGGAGCUCAUGACGGUACUGUAAGAAUAAGCACCGGCUAACUACGUGCCAGCCGCCGCAGUAA